UACGUAGGGUGCAAGCGUUAAUCGGAAUUACUAGGCGUAAAGCGUGCGCAGGCGGUUGUGCAAGACAGAUGUGAAAUCCCCGGGCUUAACCUGGGAACUGCAUUUGUGACUGCACGGCUAGAGUGUGUCAGAGGGGGGUAGAAUUCCACGUGUAGCAGUGAAAUGCGUAGAUAUGUGGAGGAAUACCGAUGGCGAAGGCAGCUCCCUGGGAUAACACUGACGCUCAUGCACGAAAGCGUGGGGAGCAAACAGG
rnacentral:rRNA from 1 species